rnacentral:piRNA from 1 species
UGCAGACACAGUGUCUACUCCCUGGAAGGC